AACGAACGCUGGCGGCAGGCCUAACACAUGCAAGUCGAACGCCGUAGCAAUACGGAGUGGCAGACGGGUGAGUAACACGUGGGAACGUACCCUUCGGUUCGGAAUAACUCAGGGAAACUUGAGCUAAUACCGGAUACGUCCGAGAGGAGAAAGAUUUAUCGCCGAGGGAUCGGCCCGCGUCUGAUUAGCUUGUUGGUGAGGUAACGGCUCACCAAGGCGACGAUCAGUAGCUGGUCNGAGAGGAUGAUCAGCCACAUUGGGACUGAGACACGGCCCAAACUCCUACGGGAGGCAGCAGUGGGGAAUAUUGGACAAUGGGCGCAAGCCUGAUCCAGCCAUGCCGCGUGAGUGAUGAAGGCCCUAGGGUUGUAAAGCUCUUUUACCCGGGAAGAUAAUGACUGUACC
rnacentral:rRNA from 1 species